AAAAGAACGACAGAGGCAACUAGAGUGGGAAAAAAGUUUGCUUUUUGUUCGCUUUUAUUUCCUCUUCAUUGCUGUCUCCAUCGUGGGGAGAGUACAACACACAGGCAGUCGCAGGCCUCCUGCGCAUAUACACACUGUGCUCACUGCGCUGCACGAUCGCAGGCGCGGAGUCGGCGGGGAAGGCGUGCUGGAAGAGAGGAAAAAUCAUAACAACAGGAUAAACGAACAAUAAACAUUGACCCGGACACACAUCCACCGUAAGCUCUGUGCGUCUGUUUGUCUGUAUACACGCGCGUGUGUGCGUGUCACUCUCUCUGUCGAUUACCGUGUGUGUGCAUCAGCGCUCUCACCCUUCUUCCUUUCUGUUUUUCCCUUUUUUCCAUUCACGUUGUGCUCGCUAAUUGGACCGUGCAAGGCGCGCGCGCACACACACACACACACGCAGCAAGUUUUUGUCUUGAAACAUUUUACUUCCUCGACUCUGUCGUUCUCUCGUUCUUCACAAUCGCCUCCCUCCUCUUUCGUGUUUCUAUGUGUGUAGAGACGAAGGUAGAGCCAAACAAAGCCAAACCUAAACUCACCGUCUUGUGCAAAAGAAGGCAAAGACACACGCGCACAAACACAAGGCGCCGCAAUACAGAUAUCUACCAAACCUUGUAAACGCGCUGCGAAAGAAAUCAGCUACAGGCAUCAAUUUCGAAUCAAAAGGCGAAUACCAACCCACACCUCACUCACACGCGCAAGCGUGCUCACGCGCACGCACGGAUUACUCUGUUUCUUGGCCUACGGAGGGGCUACGGCGCCGACUUUCUUUUGUGUGUUUUUAAACCGCCUACAUAUUGCUCAUUUUCUUGUGUUUUCUCGUCUGUGCGCGCACCCUGUUUUAUCGCACUUAUCGCUUCAGGCAAAACUUCGCACCUUCCUUUUUUCUUUUUUUUCUGAAGCGCCUCCGUGAUCACAGCAUCUCAAGGAAUUAUUUCCAUCUCUCUACUACCACCGUUUCCACGAAUACGUUUAGGUACUGCUGCUACUCUCUCUCUGCCUUACUUCGUCAUCGGAACACAUCCCAGGCAGGCGGAGGCACGUGCGUAUACACACCCGAGCCCCUACCCUUGCACACGCGGAGAAGCAGCACUGUUUCGUUUCCGCUUCUUUCACGGAAUUCGUGUGUUUUGCCCUUCGCGCUGCCGUUGUAACGUUCGAUUGUUAACGCAAAAAAAAAUAUUGAUCUUGAGCUUUUUUUUAUGUGGUGGCGCAAACGCGUGUGUGUUGUGCCACUGCGCCGAUUUGUCUCUCUUCUCUCUGUGGUUGUGGCACCCUGUAUGCGCGCUUAGCUCGCUUGGGCUCGACUGUGCGUGCGCCGUUUUUUUUUUUGUUUUCUCCUUUGGUCCGUUGGAUUGUUGUGCGCGCUCUCUCGAUCGCUUGCUUCUGGCGCCGCCGCAUUUUUUUUCCGCUUGUCUGUUUCUGUUCUCGUGCCAGAGGCUUUAGGCGUGGGCUGUCUUCUGUCGGUCCUUGUUUCUGCUGGCCCGCACCAUCUUUGUUCCCUCUUUUUUUAUUGUUCGUAGCUUGGAACACCUCUGCCUUCGUCUUUGGUCUUUGUUUUGCCCACGUUGCUGGCACGCCCUGCGGAGGCCUAUCGGCCAUCCUGACAGGACACCAUAUAACGCUCGUGCAGUGGUGCCUGAUUGCUCCUACCUCUCCUCCAUCGCGACCCCCCCCCCCCCCCCCCACACACACACACACACACACACGCACAGGUGCGCAAGUCGAGCAGCAGGCAAUCGAAAAGGAACAUCUGUGCGUGCUACGUGCAACAACUGGGACAGUCGUUCGCCCGCUUAUUCCCCCCUCUCAAGUUGUCUCGUUUUGCUUUAAUUCUUUCUUGUCGCUUGCCUUUGCUUUCAGCUGGUGCCCGCACACUCGAAGGCUCACGCAGAGAGGCGACUGAAUCUCUUGUUCCCGUGAACGCGCUCUCUGAGACCGAGCGGGUUGGCGCGUGCAUGUGUGCAGUGACGAGGAAAGACAAGAAUACCAUAUGAAGACGAGCUUUAUCAGCGACUGUAAAAACGGCGGCACUUGAACCCUCAGUACGCAGCGCAGAGUCCGCGGAGCAGCGGUUGCGCGAACAGUGACAAGGAGGAGAACAGCUCAAGAAUCGGACACACAACCACCGCUGCAGUCACACUGUGCCCACUCCCUUCGCUAACAAGCUCUGGUGGUUCUCUGUUGCAGCUGAUUUCUGUGUGCGUGCGUAUCGUUACUCUUUUUCGGGGUCGUCUCACUGAGGGGUGGGCUUAGCGCCAACGACACACACGCUGGCAGUUCCGCUGAUCUUCGCAGCCUUUCUUUUAUUUCGUUUGGUUGUGCUGUCCUUCUUCCUCCUGCAGCAUCGCUUCUUUUCCGUCUGCCGCAUCCUCUCUUUCUCUUGCUCUGGCUAUCGUUGCCUUCCCGACUUCCUUUCUUGUGGCGCUUUAUCUCCCUUAUAUAG
rnacentral:misc_RNA from 1 species